GACGAACGCUGGCGGCGUGCUUAACACAUGCAAGUCGAACGGAAAGGCCCUGCUUUUGUGGGGUGCUCGAGUGGCGAACGGGUGAGUAACACGUGAGUAACCUGCCCUUGACUUUGGGAUAACUUCAGGAAACUGGGGCUAAUACCGGAUAGGAGCUCCUGCUGCAUGGUGGGGGUUGGAAAGUUUCGGCGGUUGGGGAUGGACUCGCGGCUUAUCAGCUUGUUGGUGAGGUAGUGGCUUACCAAGGCUUUGACGGGUAGCCGGCCUGAGAGGGUGACCGGCCACAUUGGGACUGAGAUACGGCCCAGACGCCUACGGGAGGCAGCAGGCGGGAAUAUUGCACAAUGGGCGGAAGCCUGAUGCAGCAACGCCGCGUGCGGGAUGACGGCCUUCGGGGUGUAAACCGCUGUCGCCUGUGACGAAGCGUGAGUGACGGUAAUGGGUAAAGAAGCACCGGCUAACUACGUG
rnacentral:rRNA from 1 species